rnacentral:rRNA from 1 species
AACGAACGCUGGCGGCAGGCCUAACACAUGCAAGUCGAGCGAAGCCUUCGGGCUUAGCGGCGGACGGGUGAGUAACGCGUGGGAACGUGCCCUUUGGUACGGAAUAGCCCCGGGAAACUGGGAGUAAUACCGUAUGUGGUCGAGAGACGAAAGAUUUAUCGCCAAAGGAUCGGCCCGCGUUGGAUUAGGUAGUUGGUGGGGUAAUGGCCUACCAAGCCGACGAUCCAUAGCUGGUUUGAGAGGAUGAUCAGCCACACUGGGACUGAGACACGGCCCAGACUCCUACGGGAGGCAGCAGUGGGGAAUCUUCCACAAUGGGGGCAACCCUGAUGGAGCAACGCCGCGUGAAGGAUGAAGGUCUUAGGAUUGUAAACUUCUUUUAUAAGUGAAGAAUAUGACUGUAACUUAUGAAUAAGCACCGGCUAACUACGUGCCAGCAGCCGCCGUAAUAC